rnacentral:piRNA from 1 species
CAUUGAACAGUUUCUUCUGUGA